CGGUAAUACGGAGGGUGCAAGCGUUAAUCGGAAUUACUGGGCGUAAAGCGCGCGUAGGUGGCUUGAUAAGCCGGUUGUGAAAGCCCCGGGCUCAACCUGGGAACGGCAUCCGGAACUGUCAAGCUAGAGUGCAGGAGAGGAAGGUAGAAUUCCCGGUGUAGCGGUGAAAUGCGUAGAGAUCGGGAGGAAUACCAGUGGCGAAGGCGGCCUUCUGGACUGACACUGACACUGAGGUGCGAAAGCGUGGGUAGCAAACAGGAUUAGAUACCCUGGUAGUCCACGCCGUAAACGAUGUCGACCAGCCGUUGGGUGCCUAGCGCACUUUGUGGCGAAGUUAACGCGAUAAGUCGACCGCCUGGGGAGUACGGCCGCAAGGUUAAAACUCAAAUGAAUUGACGGGGGCCCGCACAAGCGGUGGAGCAUGUGGUUUAAUUCGAUGCAACGCGAAGAACCUUACCUACUCUUGACAUCCUGCGAAUUUGGUAGAGAUACCUUAGUGCCUUCGGGAACGCAGAGACAGGUGCUGCAUGGCUGUCGUCAGCUCGUGUUGUGAAAUGUUGGGUUAAGUCCCGUAACGAGCGCAACCCUUGUCCUUAUUUGCCAGCGCGUAAUGGCGGGAACUCUAAGGAGACUGCCGGUGACAAACCGGAGGAAGGUGGGGACGACGUCAAGUCAUCAUGGCCCUUACGAGUAGGGCUACACACGUGCUACAAUGGUCGGUACAAAGGGUUGCCAACUCGCGAGAGUGAGCCAAUCCCGAAAAGCCGAUCUCAGUCCGGAUCGGAGUCUGCAACUCGACUCCGUGAAGUCGGAAUCGCUAGUAAUCGUGGAUCAGAAUGCCACGGUGAAUACGUUCCCGGG
rnacentral:rRNA from 1 species